GAUGAACGCUGGCGGCGUGCCUAAUACAUGCAAGUCGAGCGAACGGACGAGAAGCUUGCUUCUCUGAUGUUAGCGGCGGACGGGUGAGUAACACGUGGAUAACCUACCUAUAGGACUGGGAUAACUUCGGGAAACCGUAGCUAAUACCGGAUAAUAUUUUGAACCGCAUGGUUCAAAGGUGAAAGACGGUCUUGCUGUCACUUAUAGAUGGAUCCGCGCUGCAUUAGCUAGUUGGUAAGGUAACGGCUUACCAAGGCAACGAUGCAUAGCCGACCUGAGAGGGUGAUCGGCCACACUGGAACUGAGACACGGUCCAGACUCCUACGGGAGGCAGCAGUAGGGAAUCUUCCGCAAUGGGCGAAAGCCUGACGGAGCAACGCCGCGUGAGUGAUGAAGGUCUUCGGAUCGUAAAACUCUGUUAUUAGGGAAGAACAUAUGUGUAAGUAACUGUGCACAUCUUGACGGUACCUAAUCAGAAAGCCACGGCUAACUACGUG
rnacentral:rRNA from 1 species